CCUACGGGUGGCAGCAGUGGGGAAUAUUGGGCAAUGGGCGCAAGCCUGACCCAGCAACGCCGCGUGAAGGAAGAAGGCUUUCGGGUUGUAAACUUCUUUUUUCAGGGACGAAGCAAGUGACGGUACCUGGCGAAUAAGCCACGGCUAACUACGUGCCAGCCGCCGCGGGAAUACGGAGGUGGCAAGCGUUAUCCGGAUUUACUGGGUGUAAAGGGCGUGUAGGCGGGGAGGCAAGGCAUAUGUGAAAACCACGGGCUCAAACUGUGGCCUGCAUUUGAAACUGUUUUUCUUGAGUGCGGGAGAGGCAAGCGGAAUGCGGGGUGUAGCGGUGAAAUGCGUAGAUAUACGGAGGAACACCAGUGGCGAAGGCGGAUUGCUGGACAGUAACUGACGCUGAGGCGCGAAAGCGUGGGGAGCAAACAGGAUUAGAUACCCGAGUAGUC
rnacentral:rRNA from 1 species